rnacentral:rRNA from 1 species
UACGUAGGCAGCGAGCGUUGUUCGGAGUUACUGGGCGUAAAGGGCGCGUAGGCGGGCUCUUAAGUCAGGGGUGAAAGCCCAAGGCUCAACCUCGGAACUGCCUUUGAUACUGGAGAUCUUGAGUCCGGAAGAGGUAAGUGGAACUGCGAGUGUAGAGGUGAAAUUCGUAGAUAUUCGCAAGAACACCAGUGGCGAAGGCGGCUUACUGGUCCGGAACUGACGCUGAGGUGGCGAAAAGCGU